rnacentral:piRNA from 1 species
UAAGCCUUCAUGAAAGGUGUUGGACCUUAGA